CAUGCUUUCUCUCUUGGCACGAAUUUGAGUACAAAACUGGUCCCGGCUGACAAAAAUAAAUGGUGCAGACUUCUGCUCUACAAAUCAGAAAUUGAAAAAGUUUGUAAAGUAAUGCCAUCAAUUCACUCGUGAUAAUGACGAACCAAGUGUGCCUCGUUUGCUUACAAUUUAUCGAUGUGGAGGACGAUGCGGUGGAAAAAUCCAGUCAAAAAAUCCCUAUUUCAAAUUUGUGCAAAAUCAUGGCGACCAAUUCCAACUCUUUGUACCAAACAAACCUUGUUGAAGAGAUGAUUAGUGUGAAGUUGGCCUCUCCUUUUUUUUUUUUUAGUUUGGAUGAAGUUAGCCGGCUAAGCCGAAUUUAUCCGAAAACUUGGCCUCCCCGCCCAUUAAUCCCGCCUAUGUGGGGCAACAUGAGAUUGUGGCUACUCAUGCACCGCUCAAAUAACCGAGAAAAAAAUCGGGGAAAAUCCGACUUUUCCAUAAGUUGGAAACCUGAGAAAACCGAAUUUCGGAUUUUAAUUGCUCGAAAACGGGCGCAACUUUUGAGUUCACAAUACCCGCAUUUUGGAGCCAUAGACCAGUGCCCAGGGGUGUGGUUAUCACUAAUUGAAAUUCGUAGGUAUAAGAAGGGACCUCUUUUUAUUCCCAAAUUAUUUGUGUCGCCUGCGUACCCAAUGAAUGUGCUACUAAUGUGCCUAUAAUACCCCACUUGGGGGCGUGGUUAUUGUAAUCAGAAGUUACAAUAAAGAUUUAUUUUAUGCUUCGAUAUAUAGAA